GAAGAAGGCUGCCGAAGCAUGAGCCCGCACACCCCACCCACGAGAGCCCGGCUGAGCGUCUGUUUCCCUUGGGACAGGACCUUGUCGCCUGGCUCUGAUGGUGACUUGGUUCCCGGCUAGGGCUUUGUGUUUACCAUGAGCGUUGUCUGCUAUUGGGGAGCUGCGGGGAGCUUGCGUGUGUUUCACGACAAACCGGGAGCCUGGGAGACCACCCUGAGAGGCUGCCCCUUCCCUCAGCGCUUUCCGCCUGAAUCGCUGACGUCGGGCGGUGCCUUGGCUCGUCUGUGGUGUGAGGCGCUGGUCCAGGCUUACACACUAACAGUGCAUGAGGAGGAGAAAACGCUCUGCGGGUGCAGCAGAAGGUCAAGAUGGAGCCUGGUUUGCUCUUAGAACCUUCCCCAAGGCUCAUGCGCUUCCUCUUCCUUCCUGACCAGGGGCUUUGAUGCCCCUGCCCUGGGCUGCCUGGUUCCUGCCCGUGAGUCUUCAGAAGGAGCCCCAGGCCUGGAGACGUGAGUUCUGGUUCGGGUGCCUUGCGUGGCCUGUGGAUCCUGGGCCUGGUCUCUGUCCCCAGGCCCGUGUUCAGGGACCGCCCUCAGCACCAAAGGCAGCCCAGUCCGGCCUUAACUCAGCUCCCAGGGCGGAGGCCCAUGCCCAGCACUGGGCAGGAGGAGGGCAUCCUCAGGGCAAGGGUCUGCUAUCAGGGGGCUCUGGGCCGCAACUCCUGGGCACUUCCAGAUUCCUGCAGCGCAGAGAAGUUUUCCUGGGGGAAGGGAGCAAGCACCCUGAGGCUGCAGAGACCGGCUGCGAACACCCAAUUUACAGCAGCCCAGGACUGUGCUGCCCCCUGGUGGCGACAGAUUUUACUACACACGGCCCACACGUGAAAGGAGUUUCUCUUCAGUGGCCCAGUUGCCUUCUGUCGUGCAGGAGGAACUCCCGAGCCACGGAGAUUCGGAAAGGAUCGAAUAAGGGCAAUAAAAUCACAGCUCUAAAUCUUUUCAUGAAGUUGAAGGCAGACGUUUUACUGUGGGAGCCAUCUCAUCUUUAUCUGGGAUGCACUUCAGAAUCUCUUUGGGAAGUUUUUGAAAUUUACAUGGCCAGGCCUGACAUCUGACUCAGAGGCCCAGGGUGGAGCCAGCACUGACCUGCUCUGCAGAGCUUCUCAUGGUGUCCUUGAUUGGAAACACCGUCACGUAUGCUUCCUCUUCUGGGAGUAUCUGCCUAUCUGAAGAAAGGGCACAGGUGCUAUACAACCAUCUCUGGAGAUAGUGCCUGUGGAAUUUUAAGCUUUAUUCUGCUAGCUGGCCUGAGUCCAAGCUGGUAAAGAGGCCAAGAAUUCCCAAGCUUUCCCAGGCAAGCGGGGAAGAACACUGGGAUGCCUUUUCCUCCUCUUCUGUCCAUCUGCAGGCCAAGUGUGCAUCAGUCACAGGCGAACUCUGAAUCGAGCUUUGUGCAAGCCUCUGGAAAGAGACCCAAGAUCCUGUGAUGAGCAAAAGUGACAGUGCUGGUGGCAGUGACAUCUGCAGAGCCAGCCCCACCCCUAUCUGCAGCAGAAUACGCAGGGGCAUCCUUUAUGCAAACAAUCCCCCUGGGGUAGAAUGGGGCUUUUGACAUCAGCUGAGGCCCAGGCUGCCUUACAAUGAGAGGCCUGUUGGUCAAAGGAAGGACUGUUUAAUGAACUGAGAACCUGAGGCCAGCUCUGGCCAUCUGCACUUAGAAUCAUUAGAGCAACUCUACUGUAACUGGCAACAUUGAAUAAUGCAACAAAUUCAUAUUUCAAAAUUGUGAACUUUAAAAUUUUGUGUUUGUGUCUAUGAUGAAAAACAUUAUAUAUACAUUUGAUACUACCAUUUUAUCAGUAAAGAAGCCUGAAAAAUA